rnacentral:rRNA from 1 species
UUUUAGUCUAUGCUCGCAAGAAUGAACUAGCUAACUGGAAUCAUAGAUGUGUCAUCUUGAUAACGUAAAGGAAAAUAAUGAUGCUACUUUACUAAUAGUGUUGUCCAAAGUCUGGUGCCAGAAGACUCGGUAAGGCCAGAGACGCAAGCGUUAAUCAUCUUGAUCAGGCGUAAAGGGUUCGUAGGCUGCUUUAAAUUAAUUAAAGCUAGAAUCUAAUAGAGGUCACUGUCAGAGAAUACUUAGAGUAGGGUUGACAUCUUCAGAUACUAAGUAGAAUUCUAAUUAGCGAAGGCUCUUUUCCAAUUAAUGAUUGACGCUGAGGAACGAAGGGGAGGAUCGACAAUAGGAUUAGAUACCCUGGCAUCCCUCUCUGU